rnacentral:tRNA from 1 species
GUAAGCACGGAUAUCUCAGUUGGUUAGAGUGUGGUGCUGAUAAUGCCAAGAUUGCAGGUUCAAUCCUUGUAUGUUACA